AUUGCUUGAACCUGGGAGGUGGAGGUUGCAGUGAGCUGAGAUCACGCCACUGCACUCCAACCUGGGCAAUAAAGUGAGACUCUGUCUC
rnacentral:miRNA from 1 species